GUCGGAUGUGAAAUCCCUGAGCUUAACUUAGGAAUUGCAUUCGAUACUGGGAAGCUAGAGUAUGGGAGAGGAUGGUAGAAUUCCAGGUGUAGCGGUGAAAUGCGUAGAGAUCUGGAGGAAUACCGAUGGCGAAGGCAGCCAUCUGGCCUAAUACUGACGCUGAGGUACGAAAGCAUGGGAAGCAAACAGGAUUAGAUACCCUGGUAGUCCAUGCCGUAAACGAUGUCUACUAGCCGUUGGGGCCUUUGAGGCUUUAGUGGCGCAGCUAACGCGAUAAGUAGACCGCCUGGGGAGUACGGUCGCAAGACUAAAACUCAAAUGAAUUGACGGGGGCCCGCACAAGCGGUGGAGCAUGUGGUUUAAUUCGAUGCAACGCGAAGAACCUUACCUGGUCUUGACAUAGUAAGAACUUUCCAGAGAUGGAUUGGUGCCUUCGGGAACUUACAUACAGGUGCUGCAUGGCUGUCGUCAGCUCGUGUCGUGAGAUGUUGGGUUAAGUCCCGCAACGAGCGCAACCCUUUUCCUUAUUUGCCAGCGGGUUAAGCCGGGAACUUUAAGGAUACUGCCAGUGACAAACUGGAGGAAGGCGGGGACGACGUCAAGUCAUCAUGGCCCUUAUGGCCAGGGCUACACACGUGCUAUAAUGGUCGGUACAGAGGGUAGCCAAACCGCGAGGUGGAGCCAAUCCCAUAAAGCCGAUCUUAGUCCGGAUUGCAGUCUGCAA
rnacentral:rRNA from 1 species